UUACAGCCAUAUCACGUUGAAUAAUCAGUUCUCGUACGAUCACAGAAGUUAAACAACGUUGAGACUGGUUAGUACUUGGGUGACUGCUUAGGAAUACCAGGCGCUGUAAG